UACAUUUUAGUAUAUGACGUACAGGGAUUUUUGAUGUCUCUAGGAGUGGUUUGAUUCCACUAAAUGUAA
rnacentral:tRNA from 1 species